CGGGUGAGUAACACGUGGGUAACCUGCCCUAAAGUGGGGGAUAACAUUUGGAAACAGAUGCUAAUACCGCAUAAAACCUAACACCGCAUGGUGUAGGGUUGAAAGAUGGUUUCGGCUAUCACUUUAGGAUGGACCCGCGGUGCAUUAGUUAGUUGGUGAGGUAAAGGCUCACCAAGACCGUGAUGCAUAGCCGACCUGAGAGGGUAAUCGGCCACACUGGGACUGAGACACGGCCCAGACUCCUACGGGAGGCAGCAGUAGGGAAUCUUCCACAAUGGACGAAAGUCUGAUGGAGCAACGCCGCGUGAGUGAAGAAGGUUUUCGGACCGUAAACUCUGUUGUUGGAGAAGAAUGUAUCUGAUAGUAACUGAUCAGGUAGUGACGGUAUCCAACCAGAAAGCCACGGCUAACUACGUG
rnacentral:rRNA from 1 species